rnacentral:rRNA from 1 species
GCUGUGAAUGUACCAAGUUUACUUGGAAAUUGUGUGAUUUCACGCUGCUGAAAAAAGUUUCGUAGGAAGAAAAUAUUGCCCGUACCGCAAACCGACACAGGUACUCAAGUGGAGAACACUAAGGUGAGCGAGUGAACUAUUGUUAAGGAACUCUGCAAAAUGAGUCCGUAACUUCGGAAGAAGGACUGCUGGUUUUAUACCAGCCGCAGCAAAUAGGCCCAAACAACUGUUUAUCAAAAACACAGGUUUCUGCAAAAUCGUAAGAUGAAGUAUAGGGGCUGACGCCUGCCCAGUGCUGGAAGGUUAAAAGGAGGACUUAGCUUCGGCGAAGGUCUUAAUUGAAGCCCCAGUGAACGGCGGCCGUAACUAUAACGGUCCUAAGGUAGCGAAAUUCCUUGUCGGGUAAGUUCCGACCCGCAUGAAAGGCGUAAUGAUUUGGGCGCUGUCUCAACAAUAGACUCGGUGAAAUUUAAAUUCCAGUGAAGAUGCUGGGUACCCGCGACAGGACGGAAAGACCCCGUGGAGCUUUACUGUAGCUUGAUAUUGAAUGUUUGUGCUGCAUGUGCAGGAUAGGUAGGAGACUUUGAAGUCGGAACGCUAGUUUCGAUUGAGUCACCCUUGAGAUACUACCUCUGUUGUAUGAACGUUCUAACUCUGAUCAGUUAUCCUGAUCGAAGACAGUGUCUGGCAGGCAGUUUGACUGGGGCGGUCGCCUCCUAAAAGAUAACGGAGGCGCUCAAAGGUUUGCUCAGAAUGGUUGGAAAUCAUUCGUAGCGUGUAAAGGCAUAAGCAAGCUUGACUGUGAGACUGACAAGUCGAGCAGGUACGAAAGUAGGACUUAGUGAUCCGGUGGUUCCGUAUGGAAGGGCCAUCGCUCAACGGACAAAAGCUACCCCGGGGAUAACAGGCUCAUCUCCCCCAAGAGUCCACAUCGACGGGGAGGUUUGGCACCUCGAUGUCGGCUCAUCGCAUCCUGGGGCUGUAGUCGGUCCCAAGGGUUGGGCUGUUCGCCCAUUAAAGCGGUACGCGAGCUGGGUUCAGAACGUCGUGAGACAGUUCGGUCCCUAUCCGUCGUGGGCGCAGGAAAUUUGAGAGGAUCUGUCCUUAGUACGAGAGGACCGGGAUGGACAUACCUCUGGUGUACCAGUUGUUCUGCCAAGAGCACCGCUGGGUAGCUACGUAUGGAUUAGAUAAUCGCUGAAAGCAUCUAAGUGAGAAACUAACCUCGAGAUGAGAUUUCCCAUUCGUCAGAAGUAAGACCCCUGAGAGACGAUCAGGUAGAUAGGCUAGAAGUGGAAGUGUAGUGAUGCAUGGAGCGGACUAGUACUAAUAGGUCGAGGACUUAACCAAG